rnacentral:rRNA from 1 species
UCAGAUUGAACGCUGGCGACAGGCCUAACACAUGCAAGUCGAACGGUAACAGGAUUAGCUUGCUAAUCGCUGACGAGUGGCGGACGGGUGAGUAASGCUUGGGAACUUGCCUUUGCSAGGGGGAUAACAGUUGGAAACGACUGCUAAUACCGCAUAAUGUCUACGGACCAAACGGGGCUUCGGCUCCGGCGCAAAGAGAGGCC